CGGCCCUGCAGAGGGGGGCUGCACCAUCGCAGGGGAAAGCAGAGGCGCUCCCGCCCCGGCCGCACGCUGGUUGCACGGAGCUAGGGAGCCGGGGCUGGGGCUCAGGGCGGGGCCUGGUCGGGGUCGGGGGUGCUUGGAGCGCAUCCGAGUGGCACCGGGUCCGGCGCGUCCGGCUUGUGGGCUCAGCGUCUCGCGAGCCCCCGCCGUGCAGCAAUCAGGGCCAGGCGGGAGCCAAGUCUGGGUCUGAGCCUCGGCCGGUCAAGCUGGGAUCCAGGCCGCAUCUGGGGCUGAGCCCGGAGUCUGCAUCCAAGGUUCGGGGCCAUCUGGGCCGAAUCAGGAGCCAGGGGCCGGGUCUGAGUCUGUGUCUGGGGUCCCAGUCCGUGAUUCCUAUCUGGGCCCCGGUCCACGUCGAAGUCAGGAUGCGGGUCCAGAUUCGUGUCCGCGUGGACGUCAGGGUCCUGGGUCUAGGUUUGCUUCCAGGAUCCUGGUGUGGAAGCCAGGUCCGCGUCUGCGUGGAUGCUGCGCUCCGUCUGCGCCCAGGAUCCAGGUCUCAGUCCGGAAUCCGGGUCCAGAUGCAGAUUCGGGUUCGGGUUUCGGUAUGUGUAGACAUCAGGGCCCCAGGGCCAGUCUGCGCUUAAGGUUCAGGUCUGGGUGUGAGCCCGCGUGGACGCGGCGCCUAGCCCGCCUCGCCCGGUCUAGCAGCGGCACGCGCCCCAAUUAGCGGCAGCCGGGCCCCCGUCGAGGGCGGACAAAGGGCGCGACCCCGGGGUCAGGAGUCGCGGGGCCGGCGGCCGCCGCUUUGUGCGCUGUUUGCUCAGCGGAGGCCGCGCCGAGUAGAUCGGCUAAAGCGGAUUAGGGGGUCGCGCGCGGUGGGCGGGCGGGCUCGGGCCCGGACCUCCCAGGAUGCGCUGCCCUCCCGGACCGAAGCCUCGCUGUGCCGCGGGGAAACUGAGGCAGGCUAGGGUCGCCCAUGCACACCUCGGACAGAGGUGGCUCAGAGGCCCCCACCGAGCCUUUGAAGUCCACGGAGACAUCGCCUUAUUUCCUUACCCUGCAUUUGAAAGAAUUCUACCCUUUCUAGUCCCGCAGGACCUGGGCAUUCGUUUUAUGGAGAAGCAAAUCACACUUGCCUGAAGGGUAAGCAAAUUUUAGUUGGAAACAGGGACAGAUUUUUACAUAUCACAAAAUCCUGCAACAUUAUGGCUUAGAAAAUAAAACUCAGGCCUCUGUUCUUAACUCAAGAGAUGCACCCCAGAUGUGACUGAGGCAGAAAAGACGUAUUCUGAGUGACAGAAGCUCUUGGAAGCAAAAGCUAAAGAAAAUAAUUACGUUUUCUUUCUUUUUAAAGAAGGCAAAUGAUGAGUACAAACCACUAAGAUUUCCAUCCAGAGACGACAGUUUAUCAUUUGACUAUAGAUUCAGGAUCUCUAGACUUCUCUGGGGGUGAACGUAAUCUCUUAGAUUUGCCUUUCGACACCAUAUAAAAUAUGAACUACAAAUAAGACAAUCACCAAAUGUCCAAGGAGAAUAUCCUCUUCCCCUCUGUGCUGUUUUUUAGGGGACAAAAACACUUCUUCAAUCCACAUAAAAUCUUAAUUGAGAUUUUAAUCCCCCUUGUGCAUGUAUAGAUGUUUGAUCUGGGACUCCAUAUAGAACUUGAUUAAUAAGCUACCAGCGAUUAAUCCUUUUAUAGCAAAACAAAAAAUAUUUACUUACAAUACAUGUGUGUUGUCCUAAUGAAUAUUUCUGCCACCUUCCAUCUGUCUCCCACAGCUGGAAGGAAACAUGCCAUUUGUCUGUCUUCCUAUUCACAAGCCUUCCAAAAUGACCCCCCUCCCAUUAUAAAAAUACCAUGUGUUUAAGGAAGGCACAGAAAAAUCUAACAUAUAAACAAUCUUAAUGACAAGAUAUGAAUAUAGAUAUUUAAGAUAUAGAUAAUUUCAAUAGUAAGUAAAAAAUAUGGAUUAAGUACAAAAUGCACAGAAAAGGGAACAUUCACCUAGAUGCCAUUAACCAGAAAUAGUAUUUUAUUAUGUUCCCUUCUCAUCUACUGUAUAUAAGUACAUAAUUCACAUACAUAUUUACAGGUGGGGAAAUAUUGUCUCCUAUAUUUCCCCAUCCAUUAUAAACUCCAUCAACAGCAUUUUUAGGGUGACACAAAAUGCCAUUAUUUCAUCCUGGGGUAGUUUAUUACCAUGUUCCCCAUUUCAUUUCUUACUAGUAUUUCUUUCCUGUACCUAACACUGUAGCCCAUGAACUUGCCUGUGAAAUGUGUCUACAUUGUGGGUUACUAAUAUAUCUCACAUGAUCUGUCGAUAGGAUGUUGAGGCCACCGUGUUAAUCUAAAGGGGCCAAGGCUGACCCUGUGGAUGCCAUUUAUUCUGUCCCCAAGGAACUUGGCACUUCUGGAAUUCCUUCUGCACCACAGUGACUCCAGGAAGCAAUAUGGAAAUCUGUUGGUUUCCCCUCGAUGAGCUUAGUCCUGUGAAACUUUUGCCUGCCAAUGUGUGGGACCAGCUAAGGCACAUGCUGGCUUGUGACUUUGCCCUGUGUCCCUGCUUCCCAAGCCACUUGGCCCUCACUUCUAUGACCCUCCCCCCAUUCCUCAGAGAUCUUAAGUCAAGGUCAUGAAGCCUAUGCUUUGAAAACAUCAUCUCAACAGUGCUGGCCGUGCGCUGUUCGUCUGAGGAGCGGUGCUCAAUUUAGCCCGAGUCUUUCUUUGCCGAGGACCCAACCCAUUCUGGUGCUUUCUGCCUCCGCCCCACGCUAUUGGCUCUGUGCUUUCUGUCUGGAUGGCCCACCUGUCCUCCCCUCCCUGCCCACUUACCUUGCCUACUGCUGUGGGUUUUCAUGCCCCUGUGCCACUUGCCCACGCCCACAGCUCACCUGCAGCCUGGCUCUGCAUGUGUCUGGCCUGUCCCAGCUGAGCUCCCAGAAUUGCAGAGACGGCAGGUUGCUGCCAGAGACCCAAGGCCUGGUCUCUGAACACCCCGGGCCUGAGCCCUAGAGGAGGAACUACUGCUACCACUGACAGAGAGAAGUGCAUAGGAGACAAGGGGGACCAGGCAGAAAAGCCUGGUGGAGUUAUCUACAAAUAGAUACUGCGAGAACCAACAAUAAGGAAGGACAGGAAGCCGUGACCAGAGCUGUCUUUUUGUGAGAGGAUUGAACACUUUUCCCCUGUGUAUUUUUUAAAUUUUCUACAUUGAGCAUACAUUGUUUCAGGAUCAGAAAAGGACUACAUUAUUGAUGUAUCUAUGCUCUGUGACAUAGAUGCAGUUCGAGUAAGAAUGCAGUUAAUUAUUGUUGCUGCUUAGAAGUUGAAGAGAAAUGGUAUCAUCACCAUAUCAUAGUCUCUUGCCAGGAAAGUUAUUGGGACUGUAGCGGUGCCUCCUGUGUCCCUAGCACUUCGCCCUGUAGAGCAACACUUCAAAACAGAAAAUGAAACUGGGCAGCAUCGCCAGGCAAACACUGGCUGCCGUUGUCGUGUUCCCUUCUGCAGCCCUCGGCUGAGGUAAGCAUGGCCGGGCAAUGUUCUCAUUUUAAGCUGAGGAAGCUGAGGUUUGGAGCAGUACAGACACCACAGCUUGUUGACUCGCUUGGUCUCCUGUGUCUCUAUAGCAGCUUCUAGGCCAGUUUCCCUGGGGAUCCAGUAUGCUUCCUGUUGUUCCCAAUGUUGUCCCCAUUACUACGAGCGAUGCCCACAGCCAGGGAGGGACUGUGAUCAGCAGAGAUUCUGCUGGGUUUGCUUGGGAAUAAUGCACAUACACGGGUGCCCCCAUCCCUGGAGGGGCAUGCUGCAGCUGGGGUCCUGCUGGGAGGUCUGUCGCACUGUGGAAGGUGACAGUGUCUCAGCCAGCCAGGUGGGGAUUCUUCUACACGAUGACCUCAGAGACAAAUGCCACACUCCUUCUUAGAAGGAAAAACGUGGCCAGGAGGAGGAGGAGGACUCAGCGUGCAUCUGGGGGACACAUCCUCCCCAGGACACCUCCUGCUGCCGGGCACACCCUGCUUUUUUACCCCUGGGGUUAACAGUGAGCUACUUCCAACCCCUGGACAACAGCUAAAUUCAGCCCUAGAAUAGUGCAUACUUUCCGAUGCUGUAAGCAAGGGGCGGCCCACUGUGCUCUCCACCAGGAAAACCCCUGCUUGGGCUUAGUGACGGUGCCCAGCCAUGGCAACAGUGACAGAGCCCCACCGAAGCCUGCUUCCCUGGAGAGGCCGAUGAAGUCAUGCAGGCCCGAGCCCAGCUCCUAUGAGGGAGGCGGAUGGAAACCAGAGCCUGGCAAGGAUGUGUCAGCCGGAUGGCAGGUGGAGAGAUGCAGGCAUGGCGAGUUCAGGCAAAGUGCCAAAGCUCACCCCAGAAAGGUGGCCCAGGAUUUGAACUCGGAAGAGCCCGUGUCGCCCCUAUCUAGGUGACCACCAUGUUGGAAAAGUCUUCCCCUUAAACCAUGGCACCCUGGCCUCGCUUCAGAUCGUCCCACAGCGCUCUGCAGGUCUGGGCAGAUGAUGGUGAGGGUGCCUGGAUUCUCCAGCGAGCUGUGUCUUCAGGGAAAUGAAUCUACCUCCUCUGUUUAUCUAGCUCUCUGCCCUGAGGUGUGGUUCUCAGCUGCUUGUCACUGAGGGCAUAGGCUCCUGCCAGAGGGCUCUGCCAGGACCAGCACCAUGCCCUUCUGCCCAAGGGACAGUCCCAGUCAUGCCUGCUUCUCUCUGCAGGAAGCCAGUCCCCUUUAGGGACCAGCUGCAGCCCCCUGAGAGCCUCAGCUUCCUUCCCUUCAAGAUGAGAAGAGAAACCCCUGCACUCCAGGGUCUGGGGACGGGGGCAGGGGUGUCCCUCCAAGAUCAGGUGCUUCGACCUCCUGGGAUAGGGAAGGGAGAGAGCACAUGAGGAUCUGUGGCCUCAGUUUCCCUGACCUUUCUAGGUAUGACCAUGUGUAAGCUCCAGACUCCAAGUGGGAAGCCAGGAAGGAAGGGAGGGAGGUGGCAUCUUUCUGUCCUCGUGCUCAAGGAAAGGUCAGGUCCCAGGCCUCAGAUGUCACAGUGUUCCUCUAUGAUCAGAAGGAGCCCUACAGGUAUGACUAACCUGAGUGAGAGAGCACCCUGGAUCACCCAGGUGGCCCAAGGAAUGACGGUGGUCCUUAAAACCAGAGAAUUAGCUCCAGUUGUGGCUGGAGACAGAGCGAGGUGAUACUGCUGAUUUUGAAAACGGAGGGGACCGCAAACCCAGGGAUACAGGAGGCCCUGAACUGGAGCCUCCAGAAGGACCCAGCCCUGCUGACACCUUGGUGUUAGCCCAGUGAGACCCUCUUCAGCCACAUCAGACUUCAGACUUCCCUGACUAAAGUAAAUCAACACAUAAAUUUGGAGUAUGCUUAGCAUGCAUGAAACCCUGGGUUCCUUUCCCAGCAGCACAUUAAAAAAAUAAUAAAG
ensembl:lncRNA